UUAUUUUAGGCAGUUUGCUUUAUAAAGCAAGUGGUUUUACUUAUAAUAACAAUUAUUCCCCAAUGCGAUAAAAAUGAAUAUUUUGAACAGAAUCAAAUUAUUAUAUUAGGAUUAAACAUCAAUAUGAACAAAAUGGACUAUACGAGUACAAGGUAAAAAUUUAUUCCAAAUUAAUACAGUUUUACAAGAAGAAACGAUGUGGAUUUUGUCGUUCAGUGAAUAAGUUAGUUAAUAUUAGUAGCAUUUCUUCAAACUCAGGAGACUUUUAGUGAUCUUUUAGUAUUGUUGAAAUACCAAAGGAUGCGCCCAAUAAGACAUUUUAUGAGCGUAAAAUGCAAAAGCAAUAUAUUUUCUGCGUCUAAAGGAUGAAACAAUGUUAUCAAACAAACAAACAGACCGUCAUAACUCUUAAUACGUUAUAUUAACAAUCUACAGACAACCACAAUAUUAUUUUACAUGAAGGUCAGAAGAACUAAAACGCGGUCAUCAGCCGAAAGAGAUUGUAAAAGAAUCUAUGAUUUAGUCAAUCGAAAUCUUUCGACUGAGCUGACACAUAUAUAGAAAAGUUAAGUUUGUUUUGGAAUAAAUAAGUACCUAAGUACCAUUCCCCAUUGGAUUCUAGAGUUCACUGAAAGGCAAGAUUUUUUUAUCACGGAAAUAUGGCACCAGAGACAAGAUUUAAGAAAAAGAGUCAAAGAAACCUACGUAAGAGAAUUAUGAGAUAUGCACUCAAACGGUUUUCAAAGUUUUUUCCAGAAAGUAAUUAUUCUAUUCCGCCAGUUUUAUUAUCCUGAAAAUAAAGUUAUUCAUAAACCUCAAUCAUAUACUCGAUGCUAUGUAAUACAAAAGCUAUAUAUACUCUAUAAUAAACAUUAUUA